CAGUCGCCGCGGUAAUACGUAGGGCGCAAGCGUUAUCCGGAAUUAUUGGGCGUAAAGAGCUCGUAGGCGGUUUGUCGCGUCUGCCGUGAAAGUCCGGGGCUCAACCCCGGAUCUGCGGUGGGUACGGGCAGACUAGAGUGAUGUAGGGGAGACUGGAAUUCCUGGUGUAGCGGUGAAAUGCGCAGAUAUCAGGAGGAACACCGAUGGCGAAGGCAGGUCUCUGGGCAUUAACUGACGCUGAGGAGCGAAAGCAUGGGGAGCGAACAGGAUUAGAUACCCCUGUAGUCCCUGUCUCUUAUAC
rnacentral:rRNA from 1 species